GACAUAAUGUUGUAGUGGAAUCAUGUCUGUCUCACACACAGGAGGUCCCCAGACAGGAGGUCCCCAAUCGAAACUGGGUGAUGUCA
rnacentral:tRNA from 1 species